rnacentral:rRNA from 1 species
GACGAACGCUGGCGGCGUGCCUAAUACAUGCAAGUAGAACGCACAGUUUAUACCGUAGCUUGCUACACCAUAAACUGUGAGUUGCGAACGGGUGAGUAACGCGUAGGUAACCUGCCUGGUAGCGGGGGAUAACUAUUGGAAACGAUAGCUAAUACCGCAUAAUAUUGAUUAUUGCAUGAUAAUUGAUUGAAAGAUGCUAUUGCAUCACUACCAGAUGGACCUGCGUUGUAUUAGCUAGUAGGGGAGGUAACGGCUCACCUAGGCGACGAUACAUAGCCGACCUGAGAGGGUGAUCGGCCACACUGGGACUGAGACACGGCCCAGACUCCUACGGGAGGCAGCAGUAGGGAAUCUUCGGCAAUGGACGAAAGUCUGACCGAGCAACGCCGCGUGAGUGAAGAAGGUUUUCGGAUCGUAAAGCUCUGUUGUAAGAGAAGAACGGGUGUGAGAGUGGAAAGUUCACACUGUGACGGUAUCUUACCAGAAAGAGACGGCUAACUACGUG